GUCUAUGGCCAUACCACCCUGAACAUGGCAGAUCACGUCUGUUCACGGAAGCUAAGCAGGGUCGGGCCUGGUUCAUACUCAGAUGGGAGAAUAUAUCUUACAAUAUUUAGUUGAAUUUGUUAUGUACA
rnacentral:rRNA from 1 species